rnacentral:rRNA from 1 species
UACGUAGGGGGCAAGCGUUGUUCGGAUUUACUGGGCGUAAAGGGCGCGUAGGCGGUCAGCACAAGUCAGUUGUGAAAUCUCCGAGCUUAACUCGGAACGGUCAACUGAUACUGUGCGACUAGAGUGCGGAAGGGGCAACUGGAAUUCUCGGUGUAGCGGUGAAAUGCGUAGAUAUCGAGAGGAACACCUGCGGCGAAGGCGGGUUGCUGGGCCGACACUGACGCUGAUGCGCGAAAGCCAGGGGAGCGAACGGG